rnacentral:lncRNA from 1 species
CUCUCCUGCCCUGCUCACUGUCUGACUAGCCACCCACUGUAACACCGGGUCGGUUUUGUAAACAUAUUAACUUGUUUCCGUGACUGCAAAUAUCCUGUGACUAAGAAUGCCUGAUUUCCUGGCAAUGCAGCCCAGCAGCUCUCAGCCUCAUCUGACCCAGCCCCUAUUCAAGAUGGAGACGCCCUGGUUCAGACGCCUCUGACAGAUGCUCCAAGAUGAUGUGAAGCAGAUACAAGUGCCCUUCUUGUCUCAUGGACUCAAUCAGGAGAUAUGAAGAUUGACAACUGAUUGGCAAAAGUGAAGUCACUGUGUGACCUGUCCUGAAAAGAUGGUGGCUGCAUCUAGAAACAGUGACGUGUUUGGGGAACAAUGGAGUAGAGUCAGAGACGCACCUACUAAGACAUUUUGGCUGCUGGGCACCUGAACAUGAGCAAUGUGAAGCUUCCGGUCAUAAAAGGCCCUGCAGCUUCCUCCAGGUUCUUUUGGAGCACUUGACUCUGCAGACACCCCCAGGCCCCAUGAUCAAGAGUCCUG